AGCGAACGCUGGCGGCAGGCCUAACACAUGCAAGUCGAACGAAGUCUUCGGACUUAGUGGCGGACGGGUGAGUAACACGUGGGAACGUGCCUUUAGGUUCGGAAUAACUCAGGGAAACUUGUGCUAAUACCGAAUGUGCCCUUAGGGGGAAAGAUUUAUCGCCUUUAGAGCGGCCCGCGUCUGAUUAGCUAGUCGGUGGGGUAAUGGCCCACCAAGGCUACGAUCAGUAGCUGGUCUGGGAGGAUGACCAGCCACAUUGGGACUGAGACACGGCCCAAACUCCUACGGGAGGCAGCAGUGGGGAAUCUUGCGCAAUGGGCGAAAGCCUGACGCAGCCAUGCCGCGUGGAUGAUGAAGGUCUUAGGAUUGUAAAAUCCUUUCACCGGUGAAGAUAAUGACUGUAGCCGGAGAAGAAGCCCCGGCUAACUUCGUGCCAGCCGCCGCAGUAAGAC
rnacentral:rRNA from 1 species